rnacentral:rRNA from 1 species
CCUACGGGAGGCAGCAGUGGGGAAUUUUGCACAAUGGGGGCAACCCUGAUCCAGCCAUGCCGCGUGCGGGAAGAAGGCCUUCGGGUUGUAAACCGCUUUUGUCCGGGAAGAAAAGGCCUCCCCUAAUACGGGAGGUUCUUGACGGUACCGGAAGAAUAAGCACCGGCUAACUACGUGCCAGCAGCCGCGGUAAU